GCAGCAGCACUUCCUGCACAGACAGCCCUGCUGCAUGAAGGAUAGUGAGUCCCUCCCUCCAUCCAUCCCUCCACCCGUCCAUCCAUCAGUUGUAUGCACCGUUUAGCCCGGCAGCUACUAGCCGCAGCAGCAGCAGCAGCAGCAGCUCCUCCUCACCAGGGCCCAGCGGCCGGCCGGUGCAUCUUCAGCUUCCUCCAGCCACCAUGGCGUUGGUUACUCUGCAGCGGUCCCCGACCCCGAGCGCUGCAUCCACCGCCAGCACAGCAACCACGACGGCGGGAGAGGACUUUGGGAGUGAAGAUGAACGGCGAAUAAAUCAGAGCCUGAGUGAGAGCUUCUUCAUGGUGAAGGGUGCUGCCCUCUUCCUGCAGCAGGGAAGCAGUCACCAGGGUCAGAAAGCACAUCCUCACCACAAACAUGCAGGUGACUUACCUCAACACUUGCAGGUGAUGAUAAACAUUCUUCGCUCGGAGGACAGAAUCAAACUGGCGGUGCGUCUCGAGAGUGCAUGGUCAGACCGUGUGCGGUACAUGGUGGUGGUCUACACCAGUGGGCGGCAAGACACAGAGGAGAACAUCCUACUGGGAAUCGACUUUACCAGCAAAGACUGCAAAAGCUGUUCGAUCGGGAUGGUGCUACCUCUGUGGAGUGACGCAAAGAUCCAUCUGGAUGGAGACGGGGGCUUUACUGUGAACACGGCAGGUCGGACUCAUGUCUUCAAACCCGUGUCAGUGCAGGCUAUGUGGUCAGCCCUGCAGGUGCUGCACAAGGUAUGUGAGGUGUCACGCAGGUAUAACUACUUCCCUGGAGGCAUGGCUCUCACCUGGAUGGGCUACUACGAGAGCUGCAUCGCCUCAGACCAGAGCUGCAUCAACGAGUGGAACGCCAUGAAGGACUUGGAGACCACACGGCCAGACUCGCCGCCCAUGUUUGUUGCCAAGCCUUCAGAGAGAGAGAGGACAGAGUGCCUUAUUAAAGCCAAACUCAGAAGCAUCAUGACGUGCCAGGACCUCGAGAACGUCACCUGCAAACAGAUCCGUACAGAGUUGGAACAACACAUGAACUGUAACCUGAAGGAGUACAAAGAGUACAUCGACAAUGAGAUGCUGCUGAUCCUGGGCCAGAUGGACAAAGCUACUCUAAUCUUUGACCACGUCUACCUGGGAUCCGAAUGGAAUGCAUCUAAUUUGGAGGAGCUGCAAGAGUCGGGGGUGGGCUAUAUCCUCAAUGUUACCAGGGAGAUAGACAACUUCUUUCCAGGCACAUUCAGUUAUCACAACAUACGCGUCUACGAUGAAGACGCCACUGACCUGCUGGCUCACUGGAAUGACACAUACAACUUCAUUGUUAAAGCAAAAAAGAACCACUCCAAGUGUCUAGUUCACUGCAAGAUGGGUGUCAGUCGGUCCGCCUCCACAGUCAUCGCUUACGCCAUGAAGGAGUACGGCUGGUCGCUAGAGAAGGCUUACAACUUUGUCAAACAGAAGAGGAGCAUCACACGACCCAACCCAGGUUUCAUGAAACAGCUGGCUGAGUACGAGGGCAUCCUGGAUGCGAGUAAACAGCGUCACAACAAGCUGUGGCAUCCAGACGCAGACUGUGAGAUGGCAGAGGGGCAGCAGGGGUUGGCUCAGUGUUGUGGAGGCGAGGAGGGAGGCCACCUAACUCCAGAGCCAGGGAUGUCUCCCUGCUGUGAGGAGGCGCUGUCUGAUAAGGGGGCUGCAUGUCCCUCCCCAUGCAGGACUGUCUCACUGGAGAUCGACCCUGCCUACAACAACUACUAUUUCCGCCGGCUCUCUGACUCAGCGCUGGACAGCGAGCCAUCUACGCCCGUGCGUGGCCCUCCUCUUCUCGGCAUGGAAAAAGUCUUCAUAGAAAUCGAAGACGUGGAGCGGGACGCCCUGCUGGAUGAUGAGGCCUUCGAUGGGCGUGAAGGUCUGCCGCUCUCUCACUUUGGGCCUUCGGCAGAGGGAACCGCCGCCCAAACGAGCUCUCGGGGACCUGAGCCCCUGGAGGAGCUGCGUCUGAGGCUGGAGUUCAGCACGGUGGAGGAGGAGGAUGAGGAGGAGGUGCAAAAAGAGGAGGCAGAGAUGGAGGUGCUCAUGCAACCAGAUGAUGGCGGGGGUGGGGAAGGAGGUGGAGGAGAGGAAACACAGGAUGCAGAUACAGAGGGUAACGGGAUGGACCUGGCAACUCUGAAUGAAAACUCCAACAAUAACAACCACAUGAGCACUCCGCGUAACCUUUAUGAAACAGCUUCCUCCAUCAUCCCUCCAGCUGAUGCUUCCACCGCUAAAUCUAAGCAGAAAGACUCUCCACCCCUGGUCUCUAAGCUUUGCCUUAACCCCAGUCCUCCUCAAGUCCUGAGUUCUUCACUCCCACUGUCCCUCACCUCUCCUGAAGGCCUUGUGUCAUCUGCGGUACUGCUGUGCCCCUGUGGCCCUUUGUGUGACUGUGCCAACUGUGCUUCCUCCACGCCGACAGCUCCACUCGACAGAGACGAGCAGCCAGGAGACUCACCGCAUUUACCAGAGCCAAAAGACGAUGGCGAUUUAGCGGAAGUAAAGACGGAGAGUAGAUGCGCAGCUUCCUCGGAUGCUCUCCCCGAGCUGAUGACAAUGGAUUUGGAGGAAGACAAGCCUGCUGUGGCUUGCUACAUUGGCCAACAACAGGAGACCCUUAUGCAGUUGCAGAGGUCCGGGCUGGUCCGCCGGCGUGCAGAGAGACUAGAGAGACUUUCAGGUUUGACCCAGGAGAGCCUGCAAUCUCUGAAGCCUUUGCAUGCAUGCCAAAGGUCCAAAACGAGCCCCUGUCAAGCUGAGGAUGAAGACGAGUUCUCUGCCUUCACCGAGAACUUCCCUAAAUCUUCUACACCAUGCCAAGUGCGGUUAGAGCCACUGGUGGUGCCACUGACCAAUGAAGCCUUGUUGGGGGUGGUUGGGUCUGGGUUGCUCACACCCACCUCCUCGCCUCAUGGCUCCACACUGACACGCAGCUCCAGCAGUGACAGUCUGCGCAGCGUGAGGGGGAAACCCGGCCUCGUGCGUCAGAGGGCGCAGGAGAUCGAGACCCGUAUGCGUCUUGCGGGCCUGACCGUGCCCUCGAGGCUGAAGCGGUCCAACUCGCUGGCCAAGUUGGGCAGCCUCAACUUCUCCUCGGAGGACCUGUGUUCAGCCUGCUCCUCGGACGCAGGGACACUACUGCUCCUCUCGCUGUCCCCAGAGCCAGACACCGGCCUGGAGUGGGACUCGCCCACCACCUCUGCUAAGCCUCGGCCCUGCAAGGACCUGCACACUUCAGAGAGAGCACUACUAGGUGAGCCCAGAAGCUGACACAUCAAGUGGAGGUUAUAAACACUCCACACUCCCCCUCAUCCGUCACUCUGUGGGUCUGGAGAGCUCAACGAAUGAAAACAUAAAAAAAACAAAAACAAUGCCAACUGUUAUAACUGUUAUAAGGAGUGUACACUCUCGUUUGCCACAUUGUUUCUCAAACUGCUGUUCACGGUGAUGAAAGUCAUAUUGCUGUAUCUGACAAAUGUGUUAAGCCAUCAGUUCACCUCUAAGUUGGUUUGAUUCAUGGACAAACAAGUGCCUUACCUACGAGACCAGAGGCACAGAGCUGUGUGUUAGACUGCAGGAUGAGACGGUACAAGACACUCACAAUGAACCCCGGGCUCGAGCUUAAUGCAGUUCAUUUUGCUGAUGUCAAAUUAAAGUGAGGAAAUCGGUCUUUAAUGCAGAGGAGUGUGUUGAUGCAUUACUGCGUAACUGUAUGCGAGUCUGUGUGAGUGAAUGGAGGAUGAAAGAGACGAGAGAAGAAGUUGUGACUUGUUUUUUUUUUUAGCCAGAGGCUUGCUCACUGUUUUCAACAAACAGAACAAAAAAAUUGGAGUUUGUUGUUCCUUUGCACUGCUUUUAUUUUUUUAAAAUGUGUGAAUACUGGUACACAGCAAGCUAUCUUCCAACAUAACAUUAGAGUAAUGUUACUGACCUCAUCAUUCCCCUACAAUGUUCUUGGGAGAGCAGAGAGCGAGUGAGGAGUCACGCUGCAUGGUUUGAAAUCAUAAUACAAACGCCUAGUGUGACAGGAACUGAAGAUUUGUGGCAGUCUAAUGAGUUAAUGUAGGUGAUGGGUUUUUCCCAGGCUUUUUGACACAAGACAAACAUUUUCCAUCCUCGAGCGGUUGCCAACAUUUUACUCAUUUGUGCUUUUUUUAUUAUUAUUAUUAUUUUUAAUUUGAAAAAUGUGAAAGACCAAAGUUCUUUGGCUGUCUCGACACAUUGAAAACACCAUCGACGCUGUACAAAAACGUGUGAACCAUAAUGUCAAUCAUGUACGUCAUGUCAUGUAUUUAAAAAAAAAUGC